rnacentral:rRNA from 1 species
AUUGAACGCUGGCGGCAGGCCUAACACAUGCAAGUCGAGCGAGCGGCGGACGGGUGAGUAAUGUAUGGGGACUGCCCGAUAGAGGGGGAUAACUACUGGAAACGGUAGCUAAUACCGCAUACGGUCGGAUAACCCAUAUGGGAUUAGCUAGUAGUUAAGGUAAUGGCUCACCUAGGCGACGAUCCCUAGCUGGUCUGAGAGGAUGAUCAGCCACACUGGGACGGAGACACGGCCCAGAAUCCUACGGAGGCAGCAGUGGGGAAUAUUGGACAAUGGGCGAAACGCUGAUGCAGCCAUGCCGCGUGUAUGAAGAAGGCCUUCGGGUUGUAAAGUACUUUUAGCAGGGAAGCGGUAUCUGCAGAAUAAGCACCGGCUAACUCCGUGCCAGCAGCCGCGGUAAUAC